CAGAGGUGCCAUGGUCUCUCUCCCCUCCAGCAUGCCAGCUGUGUGGACGAUCAGAGGCUGACCCGGACGUGUGGAGAAAAAAAUCCAGAUAAAUGGGCUCUGUUUCCACGAGUUCUGCCGGGUGAGUUGCUUCAUGUUUUGACAGGCAGUCCCUGCCACUCUCUCCUCAUCAGUACGUGUCCUUUUUUCUACAGUUUUUUGCCAGCCACCUUCAUCUGCACAAUGAUGAUCAAGUAGGAUUCCAGGGCUUUCUCCCAAGGGAUAUCCUAGAUGUAGUCUCCCGGGAAGCACAGAAGAGCUGCUGCAUCUGUGGCCAGAGCGGGGCCACCAUCUCCUGCUGGGAAACAGUCUGUGACCUGAGCUUCCACCUGCCCUGUGCCAAGCAGGGAGGCUGUGUCACCCAGUUCAUUCCACCGUACAGCUCCUACUGCCCCGCACACAGCCCACAGCAGGCAGUGGAGGCGACUCCAGAGCCGGGCACAAACAGAGACAUCCUGCAAGCGAAACCACUUCUGGCAGCAAUAUCAGAGCCCCAGUACACAGAGCCAGUCCAGAAGUCAUCGUGACAGGAGACAUGUGAGAUCACCAAGGGCUGGGAGGUGCAACAGCGGCCAGGAAGAAUCGAGGACAUCCCAAAGGCAAAACCAGCAACGUCAGACUCCAAAUUAAUGCAGCCAAUCUAGAAGUUGCCGUGACAGGAGCCGUGUGGCCGCCCCAAGUGCUGGGAGAUGCACCCCCAUCCAGGAAGCAUGAAGAACAUCACAGACGUGAAACCGGUUCUGUCAGCAACUUAUCAAAUCCCUUCAAUAAAUGUAUAGGACUGCUUUUUAAAAUA